rnacentral:rRNA from 1 species
CUACGGGGUGCUGCAGUGGGGAAUAUUGGGCAAUGGGCGCAAGCCUGACCCAGCAACGCCGCGUGAGGGAAGAAGGUUUUCGGAUUGUAAACCUCUGUCCUUGGGGACGAAGAAGUGACGGUACCCAAGGAGGAAGCUCCGGCUAACUACGUGCCAGCAGCCGCGGUAAUACGUAGGGAGCAAGCGUUGUCCGGAAUUACUGGGCGUAAAGGGUGCGUAGGCGGCAUAUUAAGUCAGGUGUGAAAUACUCGGGCUCGACCCGGGGGCUGCAUUUGAACCUGAUAUGCUUGAGUGUGAGAGAGGAAAGUGGAAUUCCUAGUGUAGCGGUGGAAUGCGUAGAUAUUAGGAGGAACACCAGUGGCGAAGGCGACUUUCUGGCUCAUAACUGACGCUGAGGCACGAAAGCGUGGGGAGCAAACAGGAUUAGAUACCCGCGUAGUC